UGUGCUCUACCGAUCUGGAAAAUACGGCCUGUUUGUCUCAAUUAUCUUCUUCAUUCAGCCUACUAAUUUUUGAGGAAACUAAGGUUUUUCAAGUAGGGAAAAUAGCCAAGAUAAAAAUUCUUUUUCUUUUUGUGAUCAAGGCCCUUUGCAGAAACGUCCAUGUCAAUAAUUACUGAGCCCUUUGGAGUUAGAACUCUUGGUUCUCGUUGAUCUGGUUUUUAGUCCAACCUUCCCUCUGGCUUUCAGAUGCUCCAUGUGCUGUGGUUUGACUUUGAUGUCCUUUGAGAAUUCUGUGACUUCUUCCAGGAUUACACGAUACACCCUUAACUUAUUAAUCCUGUUGGAUUAAUGGAGGGAAAGAGCUCUGGGGUGGGACUAUUCCAACAGCUAGUGUCCCCGGUUCAGCCUAAGACACCUCAACUUUUCUAGGAUAGGUUGUUUCAAUCUGCUUUUUAAAGUCUUGUAUCUCAUUUUAGCUUUGAAGACACACUUUAAUGAAGUAAUUUAAUUUUAAACAUUCAUUCAAAGCCACUGUCAGGACUGGAAGGGUUAGAGAAGGCAUUGGAAGGUCAGUGGCAUCUUCCUUUAUUUCCUGUGCGUGUGUGUGAAAACUUUUCUGUAGAAACUCGCCUGGUGCCCUGGAAGGGACUGGCAGGCAGCUGCCUAUCACAUCGGGAUGAGAGGCUCAUGGAGAGCCUGGGCUUCUGCUGUCCAGUGGCCUCAGCCUCUGCUGUCCACUGGGAGCCUCUGGAUAGUUCUCUAGAGGGGAAAUCGCAGAGCUGCCUGACUCUUUCCUGAUUUGGUUGGAGAAGAGGGUUAGGCAGCAAUCAAGUGGUUUGGAUUUUUCAUGAGGAAAACAAAGUGAAAGAUUUUUCUGAUGUCGGACAUUUUGUUUUGGGCUGUGGUGGUGGAUUCUGUUUUUCUCUUUUACUUUUUGUUUUCAUUCUUUUGUACUGUUUUUAAGGACAGCAGUGAGCAGUACCCCUGGUCUGUUUCUCCCAGUGAAAAACAUCUAGUGUGACAAUGCAGAAAUGGGGUGUGUCAGAGUCGUUCUCAACAGUGAUGCUGUCCCUUUGGGCUCUGUAGUCAUGGCAAGUUUCUUUACCUGUCUGUGCUCUAGUCCCUUCAUCUGUAUAAUGGAGACAGUAAUCUUUUUGGAUGUUGCAUUGAUUAACUGAGAUCAUUCUUGUCAAACACUUAGAAUAGUCUCUGCUAUAUAGUAAGCAAUUCGUGGCUGUUACUGUAUGAAUAUACACUAAUUCUGUUCAGUUCAGUUCAGUCGCUCAGUCGUGUCUGACUCUUUGUGACACUGUGGACUGCAGCUCGCCAGGCCUCCCUGUCCAUCACCAGCUCCUGGAGUU